UGACAACGAAAAUUCAUCACGCGGCGUAUAAAUAUUAUAUUUGAUUUAUUUUUUGCAAAUAGUGAGGGUGUUACCAUCUGUAAUGAAUACAGCAGUAUGUCACUGGUAAAAUAUUAAUCAGGAUGUACAUAAGUACUGUGGGAGAACUGAGCAUUUGAUACCCAGCACGGGAAAUGCACCCAAAACAUCACACAGGACAGCAUUUCUUAGCCAUCUUCCUAUCAUUUCCACUAGAAAUCACACUGCUAUUCCUACCAGCUGUUCUAUCAACAGUGGUAUUUUAUUUCCCUGCUGUUUAAGCCAGGAAGCUGAUGGUACUGUUGUCGUUUGGCCCUGCUUGCCUUCACAGCUUCUUUAAUUCCCAUCCUGAAGCCUGUGAGAUGCCCCGUUGCUGCUGGUGGCUAUCAGUCAUUGUGCCUUUGGAGGCUGUCUGUCAGGGAAGAAACCUUUUGAUCAAAAUCCGAUCUAAAGACUUAGGGGGGAAAACCUCAGUGCCACCAGCAGAUGAAAUUGCUCAGAGCACAAAACUCUGGGGACGAGCACCGGGGAGCUGCGGGUGCUUCAAGGGCUGGUUGCUGCCUUUGGUGCGCCGUGUCCCUAAAGGCUGUCACCCACCUGUGGUCCUGUCCUGGCCAAGCUGCUGUUGUCACCUGGAGAAGGGGUCCCAAAGUGUUACUGCUGCUGCUUGGGAGGGAAGAGACGAUAGAUCUUGGUGAAAGGGGUCUGCCUUGAUGGGAGAAGUCCGAGCAGAAAGCUGGUCGUGGAGUUUAUCCGCUGAGGAGGACGGAGGCCUUCGUGUCUCCUUCAGGGGACGGUAGAGGCCUUUUCUUCAGGGUUUCUGCUGACACCAUUGGUGGGGGAAAACCCAAACUUCUUGCGUUUUCUGGCCUGGCAAGAGAGCUGCUGUUCUUCCUUCUCUCAGCUACCUUGUGAUUCUUCACAUGUGUGGGUUUGUCCUGGGCUCCUUAUUGAACGCUUCAUGAUUGCCUUGGAAGCCCAAGCUUCUCAGAGGCAGAGCGGCCUCGAUCCCAAGGCUGAGGUGAAAUCCUUUGGGAAGAGUUACCAGGAAAGAUUACUUGCUCUCUGAUGCCUGGAGUUAUUCCCGUGUCUAUUCACUGAAAAUGAGUGCCAGUUAGAUAGGUUCAUUCUUCUCAAUAUGGGUAAAAGUCAACAAGUUAGCCUGUAAGAGGCUAUCAGCAAGUACUGUGUCCAUAUCAGAUGCUUUCUGCCCAAAUCUGCAUCCUACAUGGUGUGAAACCUCUCAUUCCCACCAAUGUGCUAAUUUUGAGUAAUUUUAUUGGGCUAGGCAGAGAUGUGCUAACAAUAACUCUGUGCAGGGUUUUAUGCGGGAGGGUGGGCAUGUCUGCUGGGUUAAAAUGGGACGUGCACGAGAAAAAUGAUCAUUAUCCAAAUUGAUGUUUGCCUGGGACAGCUGAGCAACAACCCCAGUUGUUUUUUAAUCCAGUGAAACACAGCUAUUGCAUAUCCCAGCCGCCACCUCUGCGGGGUCUGGUGUCAGGGCGUGCAUUUUCUGUUCCUUUACAUGCCUACAGUUAUUGUUCCCUUUUUUUUGGUCUUAUUUCAACAUCAUCUUAGGAGGGUAGAAAAUUGCGUGUUCACUUGAAAUACCAUCUGCUAUACUGUAGUGAUAAAAACGUUCAUGGUAAAAGUGCUUCCAUGCUUAAUUAUUUUAGAUCUCUGUACGUGUAUAUGAGGUCAGUUCGAGUAGGGGCUGGUGGGGCUGGCAGCUCUGGAAUAACACUCACCAGAGGGGAAAAGUUCUUCAAGAGAAUGGGCUGGAGAGGAGGCUGCAGGAUGCUACAUGGCUGAAGGACAUUUCAAGUAGCCGUAGGUUUCGUGCUUCACUGCCUCGAGCAGCGGUUUAUUGCUUGUAUGUUAAUAAGAACAAUACGCUUUCAUCACUCUGCAUUUCUUUAUUAUUUAUUCUUUUUUCAGUUUCUCCAGUUGCAGAGCUCAGUGUUUGUAUGAAGUUCAAGCCUUUCGUAUUCUGUUUUCGUUACUAUUUUAAUUGCUGAAGAGGUGUUCAGGAGGCAGUGUUUUUGCUGGGAGCUACGGGAUAUGAAGGUGAGGGAUUCUUGCAGCGCGAGCAGUUUCCUACCAAUUGGGCUGUCCUUUGAACAACGUGGCCUGAGCGAGGAUUCUCAUCUGCACCUGCAAACUGCAAACAUUUUAGCACUCCUGCUGCUGGGCAUUAACGAGCACACCUCCUGAAGGCAGGCAGAAACAGAAGGGCUCUAAUACAGUUUAUUUAAUCAGGAGUAUUUUCUCUAACUCAGGUGUGAGACAGAGAUGAAAGAUCACUUCCUAAUGAGAGCGGUCCUAGACUCAUUUCAUUUGAGGCUGUAAAGUGCCAACAUACUGCAGCCGUGCCAUUUAAUUAAAAAGGGCUUACUUUACGUUUAAUGGUUUACUUGACCUUUUGCAUCGCAUCGUUUAUUUAUCUCCUUAUCUAUAGACAAGUGGUAAAUUAAAAGAAGUAGGCAAACUUGCGUCAUUGAUGUGGUAAGCUCUGUAUUGCUCAAAUUAGAAGCAAGCCUCUCUCGGUUUUUCCUCAGUUCUGGUGUGGGUACUUUCUGAUUUUAUCUCUAGAGAUCCACGUGCUCAGUCCCAGCUGUGGAGGUGGUGGCCGCAGUCUCAUGUUUAGAGCAGACAGCCACUGAGCCCCAUGGGGCAGAAGUUGCCAGGUGAGACCCUCCAAGGACUUGAGCUCCAGCCUGAGCAACCUGCCCGGCUCCCUGGGGGCUCUCCUCGGGUAGAAGGAUUGCUUACAGCUUACUGAGAAGGCUCUCAAACUCAUCCCAAUUCAUCCCUAGAGGUGCUCUGUCUUAAGGGCAAGAUGAAGGGAGUGACAUCCUUAAAGGAAAAACCUUUAAUAUUCUGCUUUUUUUUUUAGUUUUGUAUUUGUCAUUAUGGAUAAUGAUGGAUACUUCUAUGCAGUAACUUCUAAAAUGCAUUUAAUAAAUACGUGGACUAAGCCCGA